GUCUACGGCCAUACCACCCUGAACGCGCCCGAUCUCGUCUGAUCUCGGAAGCUAAGCAGGGUCAGGCCUGGUUAGUACUUGGAUGGGAAACAUUGGGAUUCAAAUCACUAUGUUUG
rnacentral:rRNA from 1 species